GACGAACGCUGGCGGCGUGCCUAAUACAUGCAAGUCGAACGCUUCUUUCCUCCCGAGUGCUUGCACUCAAUUGGAAAGAGGAGUGGCGGACGGGUGAGUAACACGUGGGUAACCUACCCAUCAGAGGGGGAUAACACUUGGAAACAGGUGCUAAUACCGCAUAACAGUUUAUGCCGCAUGGCAUAAGAGUGAAAGGCGCUUUCGGGUGUCGCUGAUGGAUGGACCCGCGGUGCAUUAGCUAGUUGGUGAGGUAACGGCUCACCAAGGCCACGAUGCAUAGCCGACCUGAGAGGGUGAUCGGCCACACUGGGACUGAGACACGGCCCAGACUCCUACGGGAGGCAGCAGUAGGGAAUCUUCGGCAAUGGACGAAAGUCUGACCGAGCAACGCCGCGUGAGUGAAGAAGGUUUUCGGAUCGUAAAACUCUGUUGUUAGAGAAGAACAAGGACGUUAGUAACUGAACGUCCCCUGUCGGUAGCUAACCAGAAAGACACGGCUAACUACGUG
rnacentral:rRNA from 1 species